rnacentral:rRNA from 1 species
CAUGCAAGUCGAACGGAAAGUGCUCUUCGGAGUGACUCGAGUGGCGAACGGGUGAGUAACACGUGGGUGAUCUGCCCUGCACUUUGGGAUAAGCCUGGGAAACUGGGUCUAAUACCGGAUAGGACCACAUGCUUCAUGGUGUGUGGUGGAAAGCUUUUGCGGUGUGGGAUGGGCCCGCGGCCUAUCAGCUUGUUGGUGGGGUAAUGGCCUACCAAGGCGACGACGGGUAGCCGGCCUGAGAGGGUGACCGGCCACACUGGGACUGAGAUACGGCCCAGACUCCUACGGGAGGCAGCAGUGGGGAAUAUUGCACAAUGGGCGCAAGCCUGAUGCAGCGACGCCGCGUGAGGGAUGACGGCCUUCGGGUUGUAAACCUCUUUCAAUAGGGACGAAGCGCAAGUGACGGUACCUAUAGAAGAAGGACCGACCAACUACGUGCCAGCAGCCGCGGUAAUACGUAGGGUCCGAGCGUUGUCCGGAAUUACUGGGCGUAAAGAGCUCGUAGGUGGUUUGUCGCGUUGUUCGUGAAAACUCACA